rnacentral:rRNA from 1 species
GUCUACAGCCACACCACCCUGAAGGCACCCAGUCUCGGAAGCUAAGCAGAGUCGGGCCUGGUUAGUACUUAGAUGGGAGAAAUUGACAUGUUUAUGCUGAAAUUUAUACAGAAAAUCAUAAUGGUCUAGAAU